rnacentral:rRNA from 1 species
AAAGAGUAAGAAACUUUAGUGUGUGUACCUUUUGUAUCAGGGGAAGUUAAAAGUGCAAGUAAUAAAGGAUCGAUUUAAGCAGAGCUUCGUAUAAAAUAGCUAUAGUUAAAUUUAUAGCUUUAAUAGAUUAUGUGGUGAAAAAUGUACGGUGCUUAUGGUAGCUAUUUGUUUUUUUAUUGAAGGGUAAGCUUUCAUUGACUUAAUUGUGUAAAAGGUAUAGGGAAGUGCUAAGGUAGCAUAAUCAUUUGCUACUUAAUUGGUAGCUGGAAUGAAAGGUUAAACUAGCUUACUCAGUUUGUUGUGUUUUGUAAGAAAUUAAAGUCGAGGUAAGAAUUCUUUGAUCUGCUAGGGGACGAUAAGACCCUAGAAGCUUAAUAAUAAGAGUAUUUAUUAGUUAUAAAAAUUAAUUUGUUUUACUGGGGCGGUAGAGGUAUAUGAACUAUUAGCGUAUUGAUAGAUCCUUAAAAUAAAGAUAAAACGGGAAAGUUACUCUAGGGGUAACAGUGCAAUAUUUUUGGAGAGAUCAUAUCGAUAAAAAUGUUUGCAACCUCGAUGUUGAAUUAAGAUGUCUACGUGAAGCAGCAGGUACGUGAGAGGGUUUGUUCAAC